UUAAUUUUAUAUGUAUAAUUCACAAAACGCUACUACUAUUUUAUGUAAUAAAAAAAAAACUAAAUUACAGAAAAUCCACGUAUAAAUAUUUAUUUUUUAUUGUUUCUUUCUAACUUUCAAAAACUUAUAUUUUACACCCUCAACAUUUCAAGGUAUUGUAUUUAGCCCCUCUCCGUCAGGAUUCCAUCACUAUUCCGUCCAUUUCUCAUAAUUUGUACUAAAACUAUCCUUCAAAAUAACAAAAAUAUUUUUUUUAAAAAAAUAAGAAUAAUUUGAUUAUUUUGCCUUCUUAAUUAAUGCUAUACUCUUUGUAAAUAUCUUUAAAAUUUUAAAUAAAGAGCUAAAAAUAUAAAUUUUUU
rnacentral:lncRNA from 1 species